rnacentral:rRNA from 1 species
AACGGUGAGUAAUACCGUAUACGCCCUCAGGGGGAAAGAUUUAUCGGAGAAGGAUCAGCCCGCGUUAGAUUAGGUAGUUGGUGGGGUAACGGCCUACCAAGCCUACGAUCUAUAGCUGGUUUUAGAGGAUGAUCAGCCACACUGGGACUGAGACACGGCCCAGACUCCUACGGGAGGCAGCAGUAGGGAAUCUUGGACAAUGGGGGCAACCCUGAUCCAGCCAUGCCGCGUGAGUGAAGAAGGCCCUAGGGUCGUAAAGCUCUUUCGCCUGUGAUGAUAAUGACAGUAGCAGGUAAAGAAACCCCGGCUAACUCCGUGCCAGCAGCCGCGGUAAUACGGAGGGGGUUAGCGUUGUUCGGAAUUACUGGGCGUAAAGCGCGCGUAGGCGGAUUGGAAAGUUGGGGGUGAAAUCCCGGGGCUCAACCCCGGAACUGCCUUCAAAACUCCCAGUCCAGAGUUCGAGAGAGGUGAGUGGAAUUCCGAGUGUAGAGGUGAAAUUCGUAGAUAUUCGGAAGAACACCAGUGGCGAAGGCGGCUCACUGGCUCGAUACUGACGCUGAGGUGCGAAAGUGUGGGGAGCAAACAGGAUUAGAUACCCUGGUAGUCCACACCGUAAACGAUGAAUGCCAGUCGUCGGAUAGUAUACUAUUCGGUGACACACCUAACGGAUUAAGCAUUCCGCCCGGGGAGUACGGUCGCAAGAUUAAAACUCAAA